rnacentral:lncRNA from 1 species
GUAAUAUCGGUGGUUUCCUCGGCUUUUUCUCCAUUGUCGUUUUCUCCUCAGGUUUUUUCUUUCCCUUGACCCUUACACCUUCUUGUGAACUUGAGAUUGAUGCUGAGGCUGGGCAUGCUUGCUUGGUGUUCAAGGUUGUUGUCCGGGCAGCCUUGGAGACCUCUUUUGCAGUAAGCAGAGAAGACCCAGAUGACGGGUGGCCUCGAGGAGGCAGCCUCGCUGUGCGACCAGUGGUACUAGGAAGUGGCGAACCAUUCCCAUCUUGCCGGCGCUCAGGUUUGUAGGCGAAUUGGGCAAAAAAUGCACCAAAAGGUGAACAAUAAUUGGGGUCCUGAUCAAUGAAAUCGGGAUUAGCUAUGGGAGGGAAAAAGCCUUGGGGCAGUGUCUGCUGCUUCUUCAAAACCUUGGAAUUCUUGCUGCGGUUGAUCCUCUUGACACACUGUCUGCCCAUGACGCCACCAGCAGCAGCUUCUUCCCCUGCCCUUGAAUAGACAUCAUUGAGAAAUGGUGUUUCGCCAGAUUGCUCCUGCUCCACCUUCCGCCGCCUAUGUUUCUUCCUUACCGUCGCACCCUCUGUCAUCACCUUCUUUUCCAUCUGCGUGAUUUGUGCCACAGCAGCAGUGGGCACCGAUGGUAUAAUCAUUGCAGCCUCCCUAUCCUUCCUUUUCUUGUGCCUCUUUUCUACCUUCGGCACAGGGUCCUCAAUUAAUGGAGCUGCCGGCAGCGCCUCCUGAUUCUCCCUCUUGCGCUCCUUAUCCUGCAUCACUGUCGCUGCUGUCAUCGCCGAGGUUAGGGUUUCGGGAGCGACUGGGACUGAGGAAGCAGACAUGGAUUCCAGUAUUGCCAAAUGUCGGGGAGACUCCCUCGCUGCCAUCUCCCUUGUCAUCUUCUUCUCAGGCUUUUCUUUCCCUUCGAUCCUUGCCUCUUCUUGUGAAUCUGAGGUUGAUUCUGAGGCUGGGCAUGGUUGCUUGGUGUUCAAGGUUGUUGUCCGGGCAGCCUUGGAGACCUCUUUUGCAGUAAGCAGAGAAGACCCAGAUAACGGGUGGCCUCGAGGAGGCAGCCUCGCUGUGCGACCAGUGGUACUAGGAAGUGGCGAACCAUUCCCAUCUUGCCGGCGCUCAGGUUUGUAGGCGAAUUGGGCAAAAAAUGCACCAAAAGGAGAACAAUAAUUGGGGUCCUGAUCAAUGAAAUCGGGAUUGGCUAUGGGAGGGAAAAAGCCUUGGGGCAGUGUCUGCUGCUUCUUCAAAACCUUGGAAUUCUUGCUGCGGUCGAUCCUCUUGACACACUGACUGCCCAUGACGCCACCAGCAGCAGCUUCUUCCCCUGCCUUUGAAUAGACAUCAUUGAGAAAUGGUGUUUGGCCAGAUUGCUCCUGCUUCACCUUCUGCCGCCUAUGUUUCUUCCUUACCGUCGCACCCUCUGUCAUCACCUUGUUUUCCAUCUGCGUGAUUUGUGCCACUUUUCUUUUCUUGUGCCUCUUUUCUACCUUCGGCACAGGGUCCUCAAUUAAUGGAGCUGCCGGCAGUGCCUCCUGAUUCUCCCUCUUGCACUCCUUAUCCUGCAUCACUGUCGCUGCUGUCAUCGCCGCCGAGGUUGGGGUUUCGGGAGCGACUGGGACUGAGGAAGCAGACAUGGAUUCCAGUAUUGCCAAAUGUCGGGUAGACUCCCUCACUGCCAUCUCCCUUGUCAUCUUCUUCUCAGGCUUUUCUUUCCCUUCGAUCCUUGCCUCUUCUUGUGAAUCUGAGGUUGAUUCUGAGGCUGGGCAUGGUUGCUUGGUGUUUGAGGUUGCUGUCCAGGCAGCCUUGGAGGUCUCUUUUCCAGUGAGUAGAGAAGACCCAGAUGAUGGGUGGCCUCGAGGAGGCAGCCUCGCUGGGCGAUCAGCGAUAUUAGCAGGUUUGUAGGCGAAUUGGGCAAAGAAUGCACCAAAAGGUGAGGAAUAAUUGGGGUCCUGAUCAAUGGAAUUGGGAUUGGCCAUGGGAGGGAAAAAACCU